UACGAAGGGGGCUAGCGUUGUUCGGAAUUACUGGGCGUAAAGCGCGCGCAGGCGGUUCGAUAAGUUGGGGGUGAAAUCCCCGGGCUCAACCCGGGAAUGGCCUUCAAGACUGUCGAGCUAGAGGACGAGAGAGGUGAGUGGAAUUCCCAGUGUAGAGGUGAAAUUCGUAGAUAUUGGGAAGAACACCAGUGGCGAAGGCGGCUCACUGGCUCGUUUCUGACGCUGAGGCGCGAAAGCGUGGGGAGCAAACAGG
rnacentral:rRNA from 1 species